AUAAGGAAGUGUGUUCGGGC
rnacentral:miRNA from 1 species